rnacentral:rRNA from 1 species
CUCGUAGGCGGCUCAGUAAGUCGGGUGUGAAACCCUCAGGCUCAACCCUGGGGACGCCACUCGAUACUGCUGUGGCUAGAGUCCAGUAGGGGAGUGUGGAAUUCCCGGUGUAGCGGUGAAAUGCGCAGAUAUCGGGAGGAACACCAGCGGCGAAGGCGGCACUCUGGGCUGGUACUGACGCUGAGGAGCGAAAGCGUGGGUAGCAAACA